GCAAGGCCCUGACAUUAAAGGAACAAAAGCCCAGCUCACAACAGGCCCAAUCCAGAAAAUGGCCCAAACUAGCUCGCUCGCUAGGCGAGCAAUUCCUUCGCCUAGCGAACCCCUCGUUAUGACACUCGCCCCAGUGAAGCACCAGAUCCAGAAAAAGCCCAAACUAGCUGGCUCGCUAGGCGAGCAAUUCCUUCGCCUAGCGAAGCUUGCGAAUAUCAGAAUUUCUGGGCUUCAUUCUGAGCCCAUUAGGUCAUCACAAUCAC
rnacentral:lncRNA from 1 species